CGCUGUCAAAAGGAGGGAGGUUCCUUCCCUCCCCUGGGCCAGUGAGCUGGGAUUCCCUACAUCUGUGAGUAUGGGAAUGAUUAGGCUGGCUGUGUGCCCUGCACAGAUCAUUUCCAGCCCCGGCGCCAGAGGGAUUCUGCAGGAAUGCGAAGCUGGGCAUCAGUGUGUCCUCCUUGCAAGCCUGCUUUAAAGGACAAGCCAUGUCAGAUCUGGGGUGGGGGCGGGGCCAGGAGCAGAUGGCCUGGAGACUGCAGGAACCCCAGGGGAGCAGAAUCCGGAUUUCCUUCUCUCAUGCUUCGGAAAGGCCUUCUUUGGGGGAAGUAGUGGGAGCAGCUUCAGCUGUGUAGCCAAGCAAUGGAGCCUCGCCUGGCAAAGAGGCAGACGGGGUUCCCAGGCUUCUCUUCACCAGGGCAAAGUGGUUUGCAGGACCUGGCAAACUGCCCAGAGGGAGGUGGCUGUGGAGCCAGGUAAGUUGUGAGAGUGAACAAGUUUUUGUUUUUUUGUUUUUUUUUGUUUUUUGUCAGAAGUUCCUUGUCACCAAGAAUGCUGGAGAUCUGCUUAGUAUUUGUGGGCUUUGAGGAGAAUACCACGGAGCAUCGGACCCAGCUUUCUGCUCCAGCGUUUCAUGUCUGUGUGCCAAAGUGCAGGGACUUUCAGACCACGGAUGAACCAGAUGUUUGAGGAAUCUUUUACUGGCUGCUUUAAAAUUAGGCCACAUUCUUUUUUUUAAAUCUCCUUUGUCAAAGUAGAAAGAUAGUGCUAUGGUUUGAGUGUGAUUCCCAGCCCCCAGUGCCCCCAAAGUUCAUGGAUUCGAUUCUUGACUCCUCCACGUGGCGACGUUGGCGGUGGGUAGUAGUGGUGAGAGAGUUUGGGGCAUGGAGCUUUCUCCCAACUUCUCCCCCUUGCAGGCCAGGAACAAACAGUACACGAGCUACAGAGAGGCUGCCUCUCGUGUUUUGCCUCUUUUGCCACUAGCCAGCUUGUCCUUCUGCUUCUCACCACGGGAAGCAGCAGGCUGCCCCUGCCAGAAGCCCAACACAUACCAACCACUGUGCUCCUGGACUUGGCAACCUCCAGGACUGUGAACCAGGAUAAACAAACGCAUUUUCUGUAUUAACUACCUGGUUCCAGGUAUUCUGACUAGGACAGUAUGCUUAUCUAAAGGUAAGGAUAGGAUGGGGUUACCUCUGGGGUCUUCACACUGGAGAAUGUGGGGCUGGGGGUGAUGGUGACCAUCAUGGUCAGUGGAAUGUAUAUUAUGUAGACACAUUAUGAAUGCACAAUAUAUGCAAGUGUAUAAACAUGCAUGCACAGUAUACAUGUGUGAAUGCAAUGUGUAUAUAUAUAUAUGCAUGAAUAUAUAUGUGUAUUCACAUAUAUGCAUAUAUAUAUAUAUAUUCAUCUAUGUAUGUAUAUCCAUACAUACACACACACACACACACACACACACACACACACACACACCAUAGGCAAAUGGUUUAUACUUAUCAGACAUUAAUGGAAAGAUCACUCAGUGCUGACCAUGGUCAGAUCUGUGACCUAACAGACUAACAGACUCCAUAGCUAACAUUGUUCUGACCUUUAAGCAAGCCACUUUUCUAUGCGGAGGCUCCAUGUUCUUACCUAUAAAAUGCAACUAGCAGACUAGAUGAUCUGCACUGCCACCUUUAGUUGUAAAAAUUCUAUCAUUCUAGCAAAAACAAUCGCAGGCUAUUGGAAGAGUGAACACUUUUAGCCCUUCCAUCAGGUAAGUUUCUGCUCCUUAGAGCAGCUCCACAGUGAAACCAAGAGGUCCAAUCCUUGACCCCCACUCCCUCAUCGUGGUUCUGUCUCUCUGGGUCUACUUGAACUUGGAUGAGUUGGAGUGCCUCUCUGAGCCUUCAGGUAAACAGAGGGUUUUACACUUAAGCAGACCCUUAGGCUUACGUGCUCAGACAAAGUUCCUUGACCUGAUUUGUAGUACAAAUCCCGAGGCAUCCUAGGUCUCAGCACCAGCUGAGGAAGUGGGCACUUGGAGCCUUCUCCCUGAGACUCUCUGUGCCAGGUAAACAUUUGUCACCGUAUUCCCUGACUCAGAAUGAACCUUUAAAUAUAAUCUCCCAGACUUAAACAGCAAGGACACAUGGAAAAUGAGCCCCCCAAGGCUUUCUACCUUUUGACUGUUGGCUUGUUCUUCCCCCUGGAUAACAAGAUUGACAGGAGAGUCACUGGCCCAGUAGGAGGAGAGGAUCCAUCUCUUUUUGGCAGUUUGCCUUGACCCUGAACUAGAAGCAGCUUUCUGUUGAGUCUGAUUUCCAGAGUGCACACAUUCCACCUAUGUGCUAAUUUACUGGUAACGGAACAUGAUGCACCGUGACAGCCUUAAACCCAGGAGCUGGGGAGAGAGGUGUGUUCACAAGCAAGCAGGUAGAACAGGGAAGGCCUUGGGGGCCUUUUCUCAGAGCACUGGCUAUGGAACAGGCAAACCCAAAUGUGACUCUGAGUUGAUUUAUUUUUAGCUGUGUAACCCUGGACACAUUACUAACCUCCCUGAACUCGCAUGUCCUCCUUGAUGAAUACUUAGUGCUGGUACGUUCAUCUGGUAUAGAUGUACUCUCCAUGGGGUAGUGGUCUCGGGGCAGGGCCUGGGUUUAUUGCCAACUAUUUCCUUUAACGUUCACAACACACUAGAAGUCUGGUAACAUUAUGGAGCCUUUGUAACAGACCUGCACUCAACAGUUUUACACAUACACACACACACACACACACACUCCUUUCUCUUGCCUUCUCUGAUUUUGGUACAGGCCAUCUCUACUGUGCUGCUGUGUGGGAAGCCACAUAUGCCAUUACAAGGUGGCGCUGGCUACCACUGGCCACCAUGCAUAAGUCUGGGUAAACAACCAAUGUGUACAUAUGCAGAAAAGUUUUUCACCAAGUCACUGCCUGGCCAGGGCAUGAUAAUGAGGCUCUGCAAGGUACUGAGAGAGAAUAACCAAUCAGAUGAGAGACAUGCAAAUGAGGUAUGAUAAUGAGGCUCUGUGAGGUACAGAGAGAGAGAGAGUAGCCAAUCAGAUGAGGAACAUGCAAAUGAGGUAGAAUGCAUAACCAAUCCGGGUGUGAGACACACCUCUCCUAGGCCUAUAUAAGCAGCACCAGUUCUGGGCUCGGGGUCUUCUUGCCUAUGCAGUAAAUGCUCUCCCAAUAAAUGUGUUGCAGAAGGAUCCUGUUGUGGCAUCUGCUCUGCUGGCAAGUCGGAUGCUCACACUGCUGCUCUGGCCAUGGACUGCCUGGACCACCCUCCACCAACUCUACACACCCAAGUCAGCCUCUUUUUCUUAGCUCUACCUCACUGGCCUGGCUCACUGGGAUGCACCUCUGUUGUCUAAGUCAUCUAAAUCUCCUUAGAAGUGAAGCCAGGCGUGGUAGAGUACACCUUUAAUCCCAGCACUUGGGAGGCAGAGGCAGGUGAAUUUGAGUUCAAGGCCAGCCUGGUCUACAGAGUGAGUUCCAGGACAGCCAGGGCUACACAGAGAAACCCUGUCUCGAAAAACCAAAGAAGUGAGCGGUGCUUGUGCUACACCUGCCCCCAGGCAGCUGGCACCUCUGCCCCCCACCCCAUCUGUUACAAAGAAACAAAACAAUUGUCCUCCCUCCGCCAGGACUGACCUCUUUGAGAAUGAUAAAUGAUAAAUGAUAAACAGCACUCCCCUUUCCUAUCUAAGUAUCUCAUCUUGGAACCCUGAGCAGGGUACCCUGCUUUGAGCCGAAUCUCAGCAGCUAUUGAUUGUUGUGGGAGUAAAUGCAGAGACCUGGACUAACUUACCGUGGACAAUGAGAAAUAGACUCAUUCUUCAGAGAAGCAAGGAAAUAGGAAAAGACAAUCCCCCCUCUCAGCAUACCUAUUUGUGACAGGGACAUUGCAAGCUCUGCUUCAUCCAGGCAGAAAGUGAAGCUGGAGGGAGCUAAGGAUUGAUGUUCUGGGCACAGCAGCAUGCUGGGCACUGUCCCCAGUGCUUAGCACAUGUCAUGUCCUCACAGUGACUCUCCUGCAGUGCCCUUCGUUUGUAGAUGAGGAAAUGGAGGCCCGGAGAAGUGAUGUUAGAACCUACAUUUCCAAAGCUCAUCUCAAGGUAGACUAUGAUCUCUGCACCGCACCUGAGAUGAGUGGGCCCUUUAUUUCUAUAAUUCAUCAUUUUGUGCCUCCAGCACCCCAAAUCCUCUUGAAGAGCAGAAACAAACAAAAAUUGAUUGAAUCAUUUACACCACAGGUGGCAGGACCUAGCCCCUUGUGCAGGACAGUUUUCUUCCCAACGGCACUCCCCUUUCCAUAGACCCCCACAGUUUGCCUGCUGGCCUGAGUGCUCAGUGGCCUUCUGUGUUCCCCCAAUAGGUCUCUCAAGGGCCUCUGAGUCAGCGAGGCAGCAGCAAGGGAAGAAUGCUACUGCCUCAGGCCCAUCCACAGCCAAGUAUACAGCAAGGUAGAUAUGAGAUGGGCUCACCACACAUCUACAGGGCAGCCUCCUCCUGGGAUUCCUCACACAGGAAGACAUACAACUGCACCUCUUAGCAUCCCCAACCCAAACCUCAACCCCAACCCCAACAGCUGAACUGACUCCUAGCCUUCCCUCUGAAGUUCAAGCCUGCUAGUGAGCCAGACUGCCAUGUCUGCCCCUUGUUCUUCCUUCCAACUCUCACAGCCCCCUCUCUCCAAGUCACCCGGUACCUUCCCACUGCCAUAGUGGUGAAAGGGCUUCUCUUACUCUCCACAAUGUGAUCAGAAUCUUCCUAUCUCUCCUCCUUCCUGGAAUGCUAUCAUCACUCCUCCUUUCUUGCAGCUAUUGUGAUAUAAUGGCUGUAAGGAGAAUGUGUUCCUCAUCCUACCUGCAGCACGAGGCACCAAAUGCAAGCACGUUCAACUCGAACGCUUUGCUUUCAACCACCACUUUAAAACCCCAACAGAGCCGGGCGUGGUGGCACACGCCUUUAAUCCCAGCACUCGGGAGGCAGAGGCAGGCAGAUUUCUGAGUUUGAGGCCAGCCUGGUCUACAACAGGGCUAUACAGAGAAACCCUGUCUCGAAAAACCAAAAAAAAAAAAAAAAAACCCAACAGAAGAACUACACUGGACUAAAUCUGGGAUUUGAACACAGGUCUAACCCAACCUCAAUAGCCAAGUUCUUCCAUUUAACUAGUUUUCUCUUUCUCUGCCAAAAAGAGCUCCUUGUUCCUCCAAGACUGUGCUGGGUUAUGCAUUCCACAACAGCCAGGACAGGGCCUCCAGCUCCACCUCACCCUGGCUGUUCCAGGCUCUCUCCCCACAGGGAUCUCCAGUGUGGACUCAGACACAAGGUUUUCAGAGUGGCAAUGCAAAACAUCUCUCUUUGAAAGCACUUGCGUGUAGGCUUCCCUGCUUUGGCUCGCUUAAGACAGACUUGAGUGGCCUUUUAAUAGGUUUGUUUUGUGGUUGGUUUAUUCCUCUGAUGGGGUGAGUGGAUUUCACUUAGCUGUGUAAAGAAGGAGAGGCAGUUUAUGAGCCAAGUGGAGCGGCUGGUGUCAGAUGGGCUGAAGGAUGCUGAACGUUCUCACAGGUCUCUCCACCCCCUUGAGCACCUGACGGGGGCGGCUUUGCUGCCUGGUGGCUUUUAUUUUGAUUUUCCUUCAGCCUCUCAGAAUCUGUUUAACUCACCUGGAAAGCUGCAUAAUCUUGACAAAGCUCAAGACAAAUUAAUGAGUUGAUUCUCUCUUGCUGCUGCUACUUUCUAUUAGCCAGAUGGAAGACCCAGCAGUGUACUGUGCACUCAAAGACUGGAUGUACCUGUGAUAGCUAUUCUUGGUCAUCGGCUCAACUACAUCUGGAAUUAAUUAAAACCCAAACAUCUGCAUACUCUUGUGAGGAAUUUCUUUUCUUUAUUAAAUCAUUUGAAGUGCGAAGACACAUUUUUAAUCUGGAUCUUUUGAGGGGAGAAGAUUGACCCUUAACCUGGGUCCUACCUUCUGCUGACAGCCCGUAUAAAGGGAAUGAAGAAGGAAACUUGCUCUCACUCUGGCUGGAGGACCAUUCCUUCACUGGCAUUGGAGCCUAUGCCUUUGAGACCCUGGUAUAUGCUGGUAUAUGCCUGGUAUAUCCUGGUAUAUGCCUUUGAGACCCUGGUAUAUGCUGGUAUAUGCCUGGUAUAUCCUGGUAUAUGCCUUUGAGAUCCUGGUAUAUGCUGGUAUAUGCCUGGUAUAUCCUGGUAUAUGCCUUUGAGACCCUGGUAUAUGCUGGUAUAUGCCUGGUAUAUCCUGGUAUAUGCCUUUGAGAUCCUGGUAUAUGCUGCUAUAUGCCUGGUAUAUCCUGGUAUAUGCCUUUGAGACCCUGGUAUAUGCUGAAGAACAGUGGAGACAUCCACACUCGUGGGCUGAACAACGACUGGAUUCUUGGACCUCCCAGAGACAGCCAUUGUUAGACUAGCUGGACCAUAGCCCAUAGUCAUUCUAAUAAAUCCCAUUAUACAGAAAGUAGAGAGUUAGAUUGGUGGUGAUGGUGCAAACCUUUAGUCCCAGCACUCGGAAGACAGAGGCAGAUGGAUCUCUAAGAUCUCUGGUCUAUUGAGUGAGUUCCAGGACAGCCAGGUUCUACACAGAAACCCUACUUUAAAAACAAAAACAAAAAACAAAAUUAAUCGUUUUUUAAAAGUAGAGAGUUGAGGGCGUUUCCCAGGUCAUUCUGAUGAGUCUGAACUAUAUUUGCUAAAACGUGUCAGGUCAUAAUUUUUCUUGUCUUUCCCUUUUUUAUUUUAAAGACAAGAUUGGGAUUAAACCGGACUAGAUUGUAAUUUUCAAACAGAAGCGUAUUGUGCCUCCUUAAGUGACAUUCGUUCUGAAUGUGGCUUAGAGUGACUUGGAAAAACCCACUCUAAGGAUUUAAGUCAGCAGGAAUGUAUUGAGUUCCUAAUGCAUGGGAAGAUCAGAUUGCAAGAGAAAGCGAGGUAAGAAAUGUACCUCAGGAGGUUCAUGGCUGGCAGGAGAUAGGGGAAGCAUGAAGUUUCUACUCUGCCCAGGAAAGUGCUCCCUGACUUAGCCACACCCCUUUCCUGGUACCCUGCAGCUUGGUUUCUAGGAAGAUGGGCUCUAAGAACUAUCUCUCUGUCCUUUCCUUCUGCCCCCCUGGAGUCCUAGGUCUAUACUCUCUAACACAUCUAUUUACAUGUUUGAGUCUUUACACACUAGGUUACCAUAUUUAACAAAUAAAAAGGUGCAGUUAGGCCUAGUGGCAUAGGCCCACAGUCCUAGCACUCAAGAGACUGAGGCAGAGUUCAAGGCCAGCCUGGGCUAUGCCGCAAGACCCUGUCUCAAAACAAGCAGAAGGGUACACCUACAUAAAAAAGGUACCCAUUUCUUUUUCUUUUCUUUUUUUUUUUUUUUUUUUUUUUUUUUUUGGUUUUCUGAGACAGGGUUUCUCUAUAUAGCCCUGGCUGUCCUGGAACUCACUUUGUAGACCAGGCUGGGCUCGAACUCAGAAAUCCGCCUGCCUCUGCCUCCCGAGUGCUGGGAUUAAAGGCGUGCGCCACCACGCCCAGCUAGGUACCCAUUUCUAUCUGACCUCGUGUUUGCUCCAUUUUACCCAGCAGCCCUGACUGACUUGGGUCGUCUCCUCAUUAGCAGAUGGGAUACUCACUGAUACCUCCACUCCAGUCUCUUUCACAGCCUCUCUUCCCUCUGUGGUCUUUAAAUUCUGAGUGGCAUCCCGAGAAUUACAAGCCACUGUUCUUUUCUCUCCCCCAUCAUCCUCUCUGGGACGAGUUCAACAUCAGCAAGCUCUCAGUCAAUGUGGUACGUUGUGAUACAUAGUAAUGUAUCAACAUCUGGUCCUGAGAGCAUACCUACCCAGACUCCCUGCAGAUAUAUCCACCU
rnacentral:lncRNA from 1 species